CUAUCAAAGAGUACGGUGGGUUGAUUAUUGACCCGGGCUUUCCCUACCUGGCGACGUUCCCUACAGCUUAUGGGUAUGGCUCCCUUCAAGGUCAACCUCCGCCAGGCCCGAAGCGUAAAUCCUUGACGCGUCGAUCGUCCAGAAUACACACUGUCUUGCCUCUGGAACUACCGCAGCCGCCAGAAGUUCUGAGGAACGGCUCCAAAUCCAGGAGCACAAGCGGAUCGAAAGUUGAUGUUGGAGAAGCUGGCAGUUCGCCGCCGAGAACCAAGCAAAGAGUGCAAGUCAUUUACGAAGUUGUCGCAUUCCUCCCCAGUAUCGCGGAGGAAUACCAGUCGAAGGAACUAUUUGUUUAUAGAGGAAGGACUCUGUUAAAGAGAAACUCCAGGUUCUACUACAAGGUGCAAGGCUCCAUGGCAAUAAGCCGCGUGAAGAAGUGUCUUUUCAUCCUGGGGAAGCUGGGUACACCAGAUAAUGAAAUCUUGCACUCGGAGCUCAUCGACUUCGACGCGAAAGUCUGGCAAGAACUGCAACAGAAACUGGCACAUUUCUAUUUCAGCACCUACCUCGUCUUCCACGUCAAUCCGGAGUUCUAUAAGAGUCUUGCCCGCGGCAAAACACUCAGAGACUACCUCUCUGAGGACCCGUUUCCUAGGGCGGAGGAAGUUGAGGCCAUUGCAAAGGAAGCUAAAGGCGAUAAAAAUGAAGAGGAUGUGCGUGAUUGAGGGGAAACCUCCCCACCCAAAUGUCAGAUUUUAAGGGCAGUGAGACAUAUUUAUUUUAUAAUAAAUAUGCUUUAUCUUUACUCCAGUUAAUUUUUAGGUAGGGGAUGUUGGAGUUUUUUAGCCAACGUGCGUAAAAAGAUCAGCUUAAAGCUGAAUUCUCAUUAGAGAGGGGAAAAGCUCACACACAAGCACAAUUUUCCCUCAAAGAGAUAUCGACGGUGUAAGUCGGCAAUCACAUAACUCGGUUUGCGACGUCGCAGACUUCCUGUCAUACUUUAUUUUUUAAACGGAAAACUAUUCAGCGGCAAUUCUUUAAAACUGCCAUGAUAUUUCUUCUCGGUGCAAAGAAAAUUCUGCAAAAACUUCAUGGAAUGACGUCAAUUUGUUCUCCUCUAAAAAAAUAACAUAGAGGCGGAGAUUUUCAGACACCGCAAACGAAUUAUGUGGUUGCCGACUUACACCGUCGAUAUGCUGUUUGGAGCAACACUAGUUACGUCCAUUCAAAUGAGAAUCAAACAUGAGAAUGUCCAUUUAAAUGAGUUUAGGUUAGAAUGAGAAUGGUGAUUCUAAUGAGAAUUCAGCUUUAAGCUGAUCUUUUUACGCACGUUGGCUAAAAAACUCCAACAUCCCGUCUCACGACCUGUGCGUUCACCGCAAUCAGUUUGUGUAAUUUUUAGGUAGUAUACAUUAUGUUAAAUCUUAGUUAAUACCUAGUAUAAUUUAAGCUAAACUAAAACUAAGCAUAUUAAAGACUUAUAUGUCUAAAUGCAUUCUCUGCACAAUUGUUAUUUAUUUUUUGUGCAAAUAAAAGAGAAAAAAAUGGGGGCACUGAAAAAAGCAAAUUGCUGAGUUUCCUAACAAUUUUGUUGUUAAAAGAAGUGACUGCAAUGUUCCAAUGUUGAUUUUGCAACAGAAAAAUUGUACUUUAACAACAAGAAAAUGCUACUUUAACAUCUGCGUCACUUUUCCCUCCUUAUUAUCAAAGGUAGUACUGUAAAUUAUGAUAUGAAAUUUUAUUAUGUAAUAUUAAAAUGAUUACAAAUUAAAAUUAAUGUAAAUUAUUAUUAUAAAUUAUUAAUUAUUAUUAUGAAUUAAUAUUAAAUGAUUAUUUUUGAUAUCUUGGUUUAAAGUUUAUAUUAAGAUUAAUGAUUUUGAUCUCAGUUCUGGCAGUUUAUUUUUAUUUACAAAUAUUUUUUUUGUUAUAACAUUAUUUGGAGGAUGAGUAAAAUGGUAUAUUCAUAAUUUUUUUAAUCUUGGGUAAUAUUAUUUUAUUUUUAUAUGUGUUAUAUUUUAUUUUUUUACAUAUGUACUACCAGUUGAAUAAGCUUUUAAAAGAUAUUGUGUAUGUGUAAAAUGGUACCUUUGGUUGGAGAGUAUAUUUUUUGUGCAAAUAAAGAAAAACAUCCUAAAUAAACUGUACGCCAC
rnacentral:lncRNA from 1 species